CCCUCCCUCCCUCCAAUGUUGCACAUGCUCUGCUCCGAGCGAGCCAUAUGGUCUGAGCCCUGUUGCCUCUGGCCGUGGGACAGCAGCUGUUUUACAACAGGCAUCCCUCACUGUAUAGAUAAAUGCAGCUGACACUGAUUCCUCAAGAGUCCAAAGGAUACUUGACAAACUCGAUGGCGUUGGUCUUCAGACCAAGAUAUAAUAAAAGUUAAUGAAUCAGGUUCUCAGGCUGUGCGUAGUUGACCAUGGCUGAGAGAUAUGGGUGGAUGUUGGUGGUGGCUCCUACAUACUUGUACUGAGCGAUCAGAGCCUCUUCAGAGUCUUCUGCUUCUUCUGCAGCCUGCACAGGACAGUGGUCACAUCAGAGUGGAAGGAUUUUGGCCAAAGAGUUGCAGCCACUCCUUUUCCAUUGAGCUCAAUCAACAACUAGGUCCUGAAAUCUAAAUCUCAUUGUUCAGUGUCUACUGUGAGCCGAAGACGCU